AUAUGCUAACGCGCAGUAUUUAUAGUACCCUGUGACGUCAUCACAUUAAUAUUCAAAAUGGCCGACCAGUGGCAAAUUCAGAAAUGUGACCAAAUAUUAAGCAAGAUUACAUGAAAAUAAACGUAUGUCAGCAUUUAAGAAUAGAUAAUAAACAUUUAUAUAUACAAAUGGCAUCUGAAAAUCAUAAUAAUGUGAGAUAAAAGCAGUUACAUAGAAAGUAAUCAUCAAAACAAUGCGAUGGUUCGUACUCAGAAAUAUUCGUACUCAAAGUCGGAAAAUGAAUAAAUAUUAAAGAACAUUGAUAAAAUAGCCUGAGCAUCACAUUACCCCCACCUCUCAGGAAUCGGUCCCCGAUUAAGAAGUGUGGUUACAAGUACAAAAGCAAUUAUGACUGUAGAACCAGUGCAGAUGUCUAUAAAAGAUUAUUUCAGACACACUGAACUGUGCAUGGCACAAAAUCCUGUAGAAUAAUCACAAAAUAUGUAUAUUACCUUUGGGAGGUUGAAAUAUUUCGCCUCGAGUUGUAAUGCAGCCAAACUUCCUCUGUCUGAUGGUAAAAGAUCUCUUGACAGGUUCAUCACUCCUUGUUGACGGUAUUUGCUUGCGGUGUGUUUCUAUGAUAGACCUUGCAACAGAAUCGACACUUCCAUGUCACACCAGAGUGCUGUUCUAGAAUAUGACUGUAACAUCUGCUUCGGGUUGUAAAGGAGAUAUCUCCACAAAUCUUACAUUCAAAGGGUUUCUGAAGAUAGACAAAAUAAGUUUCCUAAGAUUGUCUACAAGAGGAGCUCCUAUCAAUAGGUCAAUUGGCAACCUCAUCUGAGUUCCAAACAUCAUAGAGAAUGGUGUGACACCAGUAGAUUGAUGUACAGCAGUGUGAUGUGCCAUCAUGCAGAAAGGUUGUCAACAGAACAUCAACAGAUAACCUUCCAGUGUAGAGAAAACAGAACAGAAAACUGUCAACAUAAACAACAUCUCAAUCUCAGACAAUUCUUAUCGCAAAUAUUUAACUUUUCUUAAAAUUGUUUAGCCAAUUGUCAGGAAUAUUCAACUUUUCAAAUUGAAAACUUGUUUUUUUUUUCACUUAUGU